CUAAACUCACACCUUCAUUUUUGAAGGUGACUGCUGUAGUAGCCAAGGAGCUUGAAGGAUCUGCUGGCCUGUUAUGGAGUUUCCAGACUUGGGCAAGCAUUGUUCAGAAAAAACUUGUAAACAGCUGGAUUUCCUUCCUUUAAAAUGUGAUGCAUGUGAGGAAGUUUUCUGUAAAAAUCACAUCACAUAUGACCAACACAAGUGUACCUCUUCUUAUAAGAAGGAUGUGCAGGUUCCAGUAUGUCCUUUAUGUAACACUCCCAUCCCAGUGAGAAGAGGAGAGACACCAGACAUUGUAGUUGGAGCACACAUGGACAGGGACUGCAAAUAUGAUCCUACUCAGCAGAAACAGAGGAUUUUCACAAAUAAGUGCUUAAAAGAAGGUUGCAAAAGGAAAGAGAUGAUGAAGCUUGUUUGUAACCAGUGCCAUGGAAACUUCUGUAUAAAACAUCGGCAUCCUCUGGAUCAUGACUGCAAAGGGGGAGGUCGCUCCAUCUCCAAAGCUGGAUAUGCAGCUAUAAUGAGAGCAUCUGAAUCCAGCUUCAGGCCAACUGGAUCAAAUAAGAUGUCCUCUAACUGGUAUCUUGAGCGCAACAGGUAUAAACAGAAGUGUGGUUAUGAGAUUGUCAAAACAAGAUGACAUAAAACAGAGCAUUGUGUCCACAGGAUGUAGAACUGCCAUUGGCACUCCUUCCUUAACUUUAUUAUUUUAUAAUAGGUGUCAGUUGACAUCUGAGCACUGCCAGGAGUGUAAAGGAGAGGCAUAUAACAGUCCAAGACAUGGCUAAUUGCUACUGUGACAAAACAAUCUUUGCAUAGUGUAUCAAUUGUGACAGAGUUCCUCCUACCUGGAUGCUGAUGACUUGAAGGCAGUCCUAAUGGCUGGAUGAAUCUCUCUCCUUUUAGUGUAAAUUUAUUGUCUAAAGUGUUGUGCAUAUUUUUCUACAGGACAAAUAAACUAAAUUACUUAAUCUCUCAA